GACAGAGGGUGCAAACGUUGUUCGGAAUUACUGGGCGUAAAGCGCGUGUAGGCGGCUAUGCAAGUCGGGCGUGAAAUCCCACGGCUCAACCGUGGAAGUGCACCCGAAACUGCGUAGCUAGAGUCCUGGAGAGGAAGGUGGAAUGCUUGGUGUAGAGGUGAAAUUCGUAGAUAUCAAGCGGAACACCGGUGGCGAAGGCGGCCUUCUGGACAGUGACUGACGCUGAGACGCGAAAGCGUGGGGAGCAAACAGG
rnacentral:rRNA from 1 species